rnacentral:tRNA from 1 species
GCCCGGAUGGCGGAAUUGGUAGACGCGCAUGGUUGAGGGCCAUGUUCCGACUUUUCGGAGUGCAAGUUCGAUUCUUGUUCCGGGCA